CCUACGGGUGGCUGCAGUGAGGAAUAUUGGUCAAUGGCCGGAAGGCUGAACCAGCCAUGCCGCGUGAAGGUCAGUGCCCUAUGGGCGUUUAACUUCUUUUGUUCGGGAGCCAUAAUGGUCACCUUUGGCCCGACGAGAGUUCCGUACGAAUAAGCCUCCGCUAACUCCGUUCCAGCCACCGCGGUUAUUCCGGGGAUGCAAGCGUUAUCCCGGUUUUUUUGGGUUUAAGGGUUCGUAGGCCGGGAGGUUAGUUCAGGGGUGAAUGUCCCGGGCAAAAGGGGUGAAGUGCCAUUGAUACUGCCUGGCUGGAAUGCGGAUGCGGUGGGCGGAAUGUGUGGUGUAGCGGUGAAAUGCAUAGAGAUCACACAGAACAACGAUUGCGAAGGCAGCUUACGAAUCCGCGAUUGACGCUGAGGCACGAAAGCGUGGGUAUCAAACAGGAUUAGAUACCCGUGUAGUC
rnacentral:rRNA from 1 species